CAGUUAGAAAUAAAAACAAGCACACAUCCCAGGUUCCCUUUCAUUGUUGCAAUUUGUUUUAUUUCUUCCUUUAAACAUCCCUUUAAGGGUGAAAUGAAAUCCAACCAUUUACAGAGAAAAUGAUUUCAGUAUGUACACACUGAUUUACCAUUACAAAAUUAUUAAUAUAGGUAUUAUAAAUUAGACUUUAGAGGACUUCUACUUAUUUGGUGAGUCCCACAUAAACCUUAGCCAACACAGGCCACAAAAGCUAUUUCAGUUUGCUAGUAUGAGAUAUCCCACAUCCUUUCCUUGAGAAAUAGAAGUCCAAUUUUCAGGACUUCUCCCUGUGGUAAUUAUGCAGGACAGUGGUGCAUCCUUGUUGCCAAUUUUUGCUUUUAAGCCAAUGUACCAAGCCUAGUAUCUUCAAUGACAAAGUAACACAAUUACUUCUAUGUCCUAAGUGUUAUUAAGGCCUCUAUUUCCUCCUGUACCCACACAGAUGGACUUACGAGCAACAUAUUUUCUCUUUUAAAAUUUCUCCAAAGAUGGGAAAACACUCUGGAAGUGGACAUAAAUGAAGGUGAGGGCACUCCCUUCCUUUAUUAAAGCAGUUAGCUUUUAAUGGACUAAAAAGACAUAAUAUAUUGUCCCUUACAAUCUAAGCCAGAAUGUGAGUACAGGUCAUACAUCCAUCAGUUGAAACCAGGGGAAAAGAGAGAGAAAACAAAGUGAUUGGCCAGGAGUAAGUAAUGAAUCAAUAUAAAUAUCAGUUCAAGUCCAAGUUCUGUUUAGCUGCAAUUUUAAAAAAUAAUAGUUUCAACUACUGUACAAUAAUUCAGAACCUCCUUGUACAGUAUACCUGCUAAAGAAAAUGUACCUUCCUGUUUUUGUAAUGCAGAUGUUGGGAAGACAGUAUGGAGUUUCAUAGUAGGAGAAAGGGGGAAAGCAAGAGAAGAACUCACAGAGAAUGAAAUGAUGAACACAUAAAUCCUCUAGUUAGUGUCAGGCAUCUUAUUUAACUAGAAAAUCUUUUUUUAACCUGAUGUUUUCCUAGAUACCGAGACAGCAAUUGUAUUAAUGUUCAGCCACCACAGAUUUGCUUGGGAACUGCCAUUCCAACAGCAGGUUGUGGAAAGCUAAAAUAAGGUGUGCCAGAGUUGUAGUGAACAUAAAAAUGAGAAUUAGAACAAAUAGAUAAAAGGGGAAGCAUAAUGCCAGCAGUCACCUAAGUUGCUGCCUAUAUUGUAUAAGAGAUUAAAAGAUAAUAAGAUACUCAGGAACAGAUUAAAGCCAUGAUUAGCCUAGUUCAUAUAAGAAGUAAUUAAGAUAAUAGAACUUUCCUGGUCUCUGCUACGUAAGGCUGCAGAAAAUGGAACACAGGACAGAGCACACCCCAAUUGCAAUCACAAAAUUAGAACAUCAUAGAAGCUGGUAAGAUAAACAUCUCUCUCUUUACUGUACUGCUCUAUAUUGAGAGAAAAUUAUGUUCUAUAUAGAAGGUAACUGAAUUCCCCCACUUGCAACUUAAGAGAGGCAUAGCCUAGGACCAAUAUUACAGCCAGGUUUUAUCAAUCAAGCUUGAAAAAGAGUUAGGGAGAACUACACAGAUGAGAAGCCAAGCUCUAAAUGCAGUCUGCAAAAUAGGCACCACUUGUUAACUACUGUACUCAGUAUGGCUGUUUGACUGUGACAAUUAUGCUUAAACUUUUCUGGAGAUUUGUUUGGGAACAGCAGAGUAGAAUGGGGUGGGGUAAAGGCUGCAAAAGGAAGACAUAUUGUUACUCAACAACCAUUAAGAGGCAUUAUCCAAUUAGUUCUAGGUAUUCAUGAGGGCUGGGAAGAGGAAAGAAAAG